rnacentral:rRNA from 1 species
GAUAGUAGAAAUAAGAAAAUUGCAACAAAUAUAAAAAUGAAUUACAUGUCCAGAAUUCUUAAAUCUUGUAGUGCCUACAAAUGAGAAUAACAUUGUAUCUACUAUAAAACAAGAUUAAACAUGAGGUUGCUUAAAAUUAACCCAAAAAAAGUGUGUCAAAUGACAAAGUGACGAAACACACAUCACAUAACUCCUACUAUAGCAGCAGUAGUUCAGGCCAUAUAAACCCAUUGUAAUGUAGUGGACUAUGAAACAUGAAAAUACUUGAUAAACAAUGAGAUAAUAGAUAGGAAAGUGCAACUUGAAAUAAUCAUGCAUCGUUUAUAUUCAUUCAGGAUAUACAGAAAUGAUUUUCUAUCAUAAACCCAUUGAUUAUAUUAUCCGUGUUACUUCUGUGCAAGACGAUUCUAUACGCUGCCCACUUGACUAGCAUAGUACUAUUAUUUGUGACAGAAAAAAUAGUUAAAUGAAAUUAACCAGUAUAUAUUUAUACAUGGUGGCAGCAGUAGGAACAACCCUUGCUCCUACUUCACGAAUCAGACUACAAAUUUAGUCUGAUGCAAGUAUAUAUAGGUACGUUCAGACCAAAAAUUUGAAGUAGGAGCAAGUAUUGCACGAACCAGUAUAUAUUUAUACAAGGUGGCAGCAGUAGGAACAAGGCUUGCACGAAUCAGACUCAUACAUAGCUUAAGUAUUACUUCAUUUUAAUGAAGGUACAAGCCGAGUCAGAACACAUGCAGUAGCAAUCACGAAUAUAGAUACAGAUCCUGAAACCUUCUAGGACAUAAGCGAGAAGAUAAAUUGGAUUGUCUUUUUAAUAUCAAAUCAAGGUCUAGAAAUACAUAGAGAUAUUCAGUGGUGGACGUUGUGAAGACAAUAAUAUUUUUUUUACAUUUACAAAAUGAAUAAUCUGAUCCUGUUAGGUAGUUGUCAAGCAUAUCUUACCAUCAACGUUGUGUGCAUCUAGGCAUGCUAGUUGUGCUAUAUUUAUGCCAGCUAAUGCAUUGUAACUUCGACCAAUUUUUCCAACAUAACCCGUGUGCUCUCUGCUCUCUGUGCUAUUCUUAGUCCCUUUCACUUUCAGAAAUAUCAUAAUAAGUGAAAAUGGAUAUACAAUUGUUUGCCAACAUUCGGUUUGUUCACAACCAUGUUUGUAAGGCAACAAAAACAAAGAUGUAUUUUGUAUGCCCACAGUUUACCCAAGUUUUAGCAAUGAGAUGAAAGUUCCUCCCUGACAACAAGCUAAGGCCUU